GACAUUUUGACAAGGUGGUUUUUCUCAAAAAAAGUCAAUGUACAUUUGGCAAUAUACUUAAUUAUCAUUAUUAAUCAUAAUCAAUAAAUUGAUGGCUAAAUUAAGCUAUGGGUAAAUUAUACAUUAAUGACCAGGCAAAGGAGUACUUUAGCUAUUAAAUCUGUCAAGGUCCCUCAAGUUCAGUGUGAGUGGUCUAUCUCCUUAUCUGAACACUUUGAAGUCUCUGCCUCUGUCUGUUGCCUCAGGCGUGUGUUGAGAUAUGAGGAGAGUCUGCCUCAUCUACCUAAUGCUGCUUGUGUAGCUAAUAGUCCAGAAAACACUGCUCUGUGAGGCCGCACACAAGCACUUUAAAUGAUUCAUCUUUGGCUGUCACCAAUCGGAGAGCAACUUGCCACGCUCUGCCACUCAUGAUCCAGCCAAUCUGAAGGUGUUAGGAAGGUUGGCAGGGUUUAAAGGGUGGCGAAUAGUUGUUUAUUGAGCAGAUUUAUGUACUUAAGGGUCUUGAAAGCUACUUUGUGCACAGGUAUACGAUCAUUUUCUUCUUGAACAAAUCAUUUCAAUCACCAAAUUAACAGCUCAUUUAGAUGUGUCAACCUGGUGCAUUUUUUGAGCAAAGUGAUGAGGCUGAAGGCUUCUAUGGAGAAGAGGUUUGUGCCCGUUAACUCUACUGUAGAUUAUUAUGAAUAAACUGACGUCCCGGUUCAUGAAUUAAUAAUUGAUACAAUGGAUUUAGUUUACACCAGGAUACAGCCAUGAUUCUGAAAGUAUGUAAUCAUUAAAGAAAUGAGAAUAGUGUAAUACCACUGUAAUGUUGAAAUGUAAUCAAUAGAAUAAUACCAAUGCACAGCUAUGAUUGUAUUCAAUGUAAUGUAACCAACCGAAAUGAAGGUAUGUAAUACUUGAUAGCACAACUGAUAUUGACCAAAAGACAUUCAAAAGUUAUAUUGAACUCACCAGGAGACGGCUCCCAGGGGCGUGGACACUAACUUUCAAACCUUUACUGAUCUGUAUAAAUACCUGUAGGCAACCAUUGUUCAAGGAGUUUAUUGGUAGAAGCAAGAGACAGGCAUUAUGGGUAGUCAAUGGGCUGCUAUGUGGCAUGUUGAUUACAGACACCAGCGUUCUUUUUAACACAACACCUUUUCUUUUAUUAAAUAUUUUUAAUUUUAACUUCCAAGAUGUCUUCUGUCCAUCCGGAGUUUCUUCCUUUUUACAAUACAAUACUACUCGAUGUAGCCUAUCUGUGUGUUAUGUUUGUGGACAACAGUUUUGAAGCCAAGAGGUGGCCGUUUUUUUAUGUUGCCACAUUGAUUAUAUGCAACUAGUUUUUUAAUUGAAUAAAAUUUAAAAUAAACUUCCAUUUCUGACCUCCGGGCUGCUCUCAGGCGCUAUGGUGCUUUAAGCUAAAUGCUAACGUUGUCAUGCUAACAUGCACACAAUGACAACAUGUUGAUGUUAAGCAGUUAUAAGAUCAAGUUUGUUGAUUUAGUUUGUUAGAAUUCGGCAUGUUAGCAAUUAACGGUUUAACCUCUAAGCAAUGAUAAGAGUUUCGGAUCCACUGACACGCUGAGGAAGUGGGAAAAUACUGAGUCCUGUUAGCGCAUUGUUGGUUUUGAUCUUUUGCUUUAAAUUUGCUGAAAAAAAAAAAAUACCAGAUCACAUCAGACUUAUCCUUUAAAGCUCUGCACAUUAGUCAACGUUUCUUUAAAUGUGCCAUCGGUAGCUUGCUAGAUGUCUUUGAACUCUAAUCAUUGGGCAUGACAUUAAAAGCCUCCAUCAGUCUGUGCCUUUUAAAUCCCUUUGAUGAGCAUGUACAAAGAAAAUCUUGGGGGUUGCAUGUAAUUCACAAAUAUAGCACAAACAAUUGUGAGACAGUGCAACCCGUCAGGAGAAAACAUCACAAGAUAAAUUAAAGAUGGCGGACAGAUUAGAUGUUAAAAAAAGAGUAUUGAGGCAACUCCACACACAACAAAACAAAAAAUCAGCACACCCAAGAGCAGAAUGCAAGUCAACUGCAAGUUGAUAAAGCCUUCGGAAAAGAACUCUCUCUAGAUAGUGAGAUCUAAAAAUGACAGGUGAGUUUGAGAACGGUUCUUGCAGCUGGUACCCCUCAAUUUAAUUUGUGCCAAGAGAAAAAAAGGCCAUUGCCGAGCAAUGAGUCGUGGUGAUGUGUGAUGCAGGCAGAGAAGAUGAGACUGCAGGCUACCUGGAGCAGAGCCAGGGACUCUGGGUCACUGGUGUCAGGGCAAGCUGGCAUGACUGGUGAAAGCACAUAACCGAGUGCACAAACACACACACACAAACCACGAUUUAAAAACACUGUGGAGCUGAUAACAUUCCCGGUAUUUCACAUGAGCACACAUGCAGAACAUCUUUGCCCUCCUCUCUUUGUUGUACUCUUGCAGUUAAUCUUGUUCAGCGGCAUGAUGAUUAUGAUAAGUCUUGCUGUAAAAUAUAAAUGCAAAUUUGCAGGCAUCUUCCCUGACAAACCUCUUGGCAAAAAAAAGCAUCAUUAUAUUCUUGCUGCAGAGGGGGAGGAACAUUGUGAGGAGAAAAUAUAUUAAAUUGCAGACAUUACCAAUUUCUUUUCUGUCACCCGCCAGACUUUGUAAUACUCUCAUCCAUCUGUUUCUGUGAAGUAUUAUGCAUGUGGACCUAUCAACGCCGGCAGCACCCCUGGGCACGACUGUGUCAUACAAGCUGAGUCUCCCUGAAAACACCUGCUGCCUCGCAUCCUAACAUUAGCAAAACAAGUGUUUUAAGUAUUUUUGAAUUCCGUCUAAAAUGUCUCCUAUGCACGCUGGAUCUGUUGCGAGACAGGUGUCUCUGCAAUGUGGAGCAUCAGCAGCACACAGGAGUGUUAAUUAGACACACCAACAAUAGUGUCGGGGGGUGCUGCGACUGACGUAUGAAGCUCCCACAGCGAUUAGCACACACCGAAAACGUUUUGACUCUGACAGGGCAUCUGCGCCUGUGUGCACCUGAGUGACUAUCACGGAGAUUUAGAGACAGAUCGGUCUGCGUGGACUAAAACACAUAUAUGAAGAACGGGAACGCCAGGCUGAGUCGGGAGAACAAUGUUUGGGCAAACGCAGUGAAAUAAUGAUCGCCCUCAUCCAGGUGAUAAUGUGUAAUAAAUGCAGGCAAAGUUCCUCAACGGACUGAUUCAUUCUUCAUCACAAGGGAGGCAGAAUACACCAGGGGGCAAUCUGAGAGAGUGCUCGCUCAUUUAUUUUUGCCUUAACGAAGCAGGGAAAGUAUUGUAACGCUCACCCCAGUGCUGCAGCGUAAAUAAGUAGGCGAUGGCUGGCUUGCAACUUCGGUGUAUUUAUUUAGGGAACUCAGCUUAACUCCGGUCACUGUUGGCCGAGACCACGCCGUACAAACGCUUCCGCACACACAGCCCCCAGAACUCGGGUUGUCUCGCGAGACAAUCCCCCCACCGGAAUAGGUCUCAUAUAACAACAUUGACUUCUGCUGGUAACAUUAGUGCAUAAAGGCAACACAUGCAACAUCUGCAUUACUGAAGAACUCAUAAUAACAGGGACACAUUAACUCAGCUCAUUACAGUACACAGCCUCCCCUGGACAGCAGGGAAAUUUGCAGCAUUGAAUCAACAUGCCGUAUUCUUAAAAGACUAGUUUAAAAAAAUAUAUAUAUACGUUCAUUUGAAUGAUUUCAUAAGAUUAUGAUUGUGUACAAUUUGCAGAUAGUACGCUCUUUCACUACUUAUAACCCUGUUCACAGAUGGGUUCACACUCUUCGUCACACACUGUAGAGCUCAGCGCUCAACACUCAACAUCAAUCCAGCCGGACCCAACAGCUGCUAAUUGACAGCUGUAAGUGUGGAGCCAGAGGGCGGAGGGUAUUUUUAAUUACACACCACAUCUCCAUGGCUACAAAUGCGAGAGGGCGGAAGUCACGCCAUCAGGUCGGGAUGGAGAUUAAGUCCUACAGGGGAGCAGGGGAAUCGCACAGAUGACAUUCUCUUCCGCCUCUUUCUGCUUAUGCGAUGUUUACCAGUAAACAAUUAUCUCCUUACAUACUCACACACACACACACACACACACACACAAACCUCAAAUCAUCUUGUUCAGGCUGGUCCUUGAUACGUAUGGGCCCUGGACUCUUUGUAGCUCUGGUGGUGUAUGCAUUGCUGGCAGAGUGUUGGGGCGAUACAACAUCCUGCUCCAUGAAUCCUUGAUCACAGAAAGUCAUGUUCCGUAUCACAGCGCGCAGUGUUGGGAUCUAAGACGCGGCUGGGUUUUUUUUUUGUUUCCCUUUUUUGAACGAUUCCGCUCUCUUUCAUAAUGCCUCCAGAUUAGACGGUAAAAGUGGAAACUGGUAACAGGAACAGGAUAAUUAAUUCAGCGGCAGAUCUUAAUCCUUUAACAGCACAAGCAAAACGUCUGAACUGUUUUGUCGUUAAUGUGCUUAUGCCGUCUUGCCUGCCGCCAUGCUUUGCUCAAGGGGUUGUCCCUCUCUCCCUCUCUCUCUCUCUCUACCUCUCUCUCAACCCCUUUUCCAAAUCCGAGAAAAAGAUAUAGACGGCAGGUUGGACUUGAUCUCUACCCCAUAUAUGAUGAAUUUUCAAAUUUCUCUUCGCCAUAAAAUUGAAUUGAGGUCUCCAGCUCACCCUCUGCCCCCUAUAUUUCUCACUCUGAACCUCUACUCCCAUGAGUUUUAUCAAUUUACACAGUCUGAGUCCUCCCGCUCGCUCAUGAGUUUGGCCAGUUAGAUUAUCUAUGAGAGAUUCGGAUCAAGAAGAAAAUGACUGGACCUCAGAUAUUACUUUACUUUGCAAUUCUAGAAAUGUAUUAAAUGCAUGCACAAUAUUGGUAAGAUAUCUACCCCAGACAGCCUUCACAGAUCCAGCUCUAACCUAGCUAGACUCCAUACAGACUUACCCCUAUUCAAGCCUGGAAAGUGAGCGCCGUGCUGAAACUGUCUUUCACUUACAACAGGGUCGAGCACAUCCUGCCAGCUCUAAUUGCGAGGUUUUUGCAAAACACUUUUCAGAGAUGUUUCCUCCCAGACAGGUAUUGAAAGGUGCAUGUUUGAAUUGAAUGUACUUUCUGCUCUGGGCACAGGAGUUUAAUCGCUUUGACUUCACAUACCUGACUUCACCUCUGCGCAGGAGUUUAAUCGCUUUGACUUCACAUACCUGACUUCAUCUCUGCUGCCCAAACACAGUCAACUCUGGGCUAAAAAGGAACAGGCUAGAAAAGUCCAGCUCCCUGUAGGGCGGUUUACUGUGGAGUUCAAACCGCUAGCCUCCAAUCCUAAAAUGUUAGGCUACUCUGAGCUGCCCGCAAGCUGCCAUGGCUACUUUUUCAUAUUUUGUGAAAUUACCAAUGCGCCCCCGUGAAUCAAUAAUGCAGGCAUAUUAAUUAACAACAGCAAUCCUUAAUAGCAUAAACUGUAUAAAAUGGAUGUGAAAGCAGUGUGGUGUUUAAUAGCCAACAGUGUAAUGCUCACUUAAAAUCUACGGACAAGUAAUCUCAGUUUAUAUUAAAGAAUGGUUUCACAUUUAUUGUGUGUCUUAACAAACCACUCAGUUGGGGAUGAAUAUUCAACAAGUUUUGCCUCCAAUGAAAAUGGCCAAAAUAUAUUUGUUGUUGAUCUGGUGCUGAUGCAAUGCCUCUUAGUUAACCAGAUGAAGUAGGUACUGUAUUAUGUGCUGUGUUAUAAAUGAAAUUCCUUCUAAUGAAUGUAUGAUAUGUGAAAUAAAUGUGACAAACACUAUAACUUGAUCAGUGACACAAAAACAAGAGUAAAACACAGCUGCAAGCCUGCCGUUUACACUGGAUGCUCAUCCCUAGCGUUCAAGGCUUUAGAUUAAAAAAUGUGUGCACUGUCUUUCAGAGAAUUGGAUAAAAAAAAUCAUACCACUUCAUGUCUGUACGCUUAUUACGUUGUUGGAGUCGCAGCCUGUUAAGUUAGCUUAGCCUCAUAAUGAGCCACAGGGAAAACAUUUAGCCUGGCUCUUUCUGGGACUGGAGAUUUAACUGGUUGCCUGGCAACGGCACAGUUAUCAUAACGCUCCGCAACGUUAUGUUACGUUAUGAUACGCUACUACGUUAUGUUACUAUUCCAGGACAAGAAAUGGUAAAAACACAACUUGUUUUCCAGGUUGGAUUUUGUACGGAUGAAACAAAUUGAGUUAAUGAAAAACUUAGCUAUUUCCACGUUUUCCAGCUGUUGGUUCUUCAUAUUUACCUCAAAAACUGGUUUCAAUCUUCUGAUCAUUUUUUUAAACUUCCCCUCCUACUGUUAUGGCUUACAGUUAUUAAUUUGGGGCAAAUCAUUUUUGUUAAAGGGGAACAAAUCAUUUGCACAUAGAUAAAAAAUGGUUCAAUUUGUGUGAACUUGUGAUCCCAUUUAAACAUGAGCAGUAAGAGCUGUAUAUGGUCUAAAAUCUCCCCUCUGUGUGUGCAACUAAAGGACACACUUAAAUGCUGACCUCAGAAAGUGACUUUCUAUCCCCAACUGUUUUUUGUUCGGAUUAAAUAAUGAAAACUCAAAGUGCAGUAUGUUUGAGUUGUAUUGUUUUGGCUCUGAACUCCAGCACAUUCGAUUUGAAAUGAAACUGACUUUGAGGUUAAAGUGCUGACUGUCAGCUUUAAUUCUGUGGUGUUUACAUCCCCGUCUGAUUAACCAUAGCAAUGCUUGCCCUCUUUACACGUAUCCCCCAAGGAUAAAAAGGUCUACCAGUCCUACACUGUUCAGCCGAUAUAGAUGUGAACACCCUCAAACAGCUUUAAAGCUGAAAGUCAGCACUUUAACCGUAAAGUCAGUUUCAUUUCAAAUCCGGUGUGUUGGAAUAAAGCCAAAACAAUGAGAAACAUGUCACAUUGCUGACAAUACUGCCCCACACUACACUUGCCUUCCACUCCCGUUACACAGGUUCAAGAAGAGAAGCAUAGCGUUUACUCUUAAGUGUAUCACAGCAACACCCGGUCACAUACACAAACGCUAGGGUGCCACAACAAUAAAUAAUAUCAUCUUCCUUCUCCUCCAGCCACGUCUCAGGCUGACAUGGAAAUUGUUGAAAACCCACUAAAGAAAUUUUAAUAACAUCUUUCACCUGAGAACCUAAUGGUUAUGGCAAAGAAGAUUCCCAUGAUGGCAGCAAAUAAAUCUAAUUAGAGGAGAGAGAUAUGCUCAUGCGCCUGUAAGGCAAGGAAUAGCCAGGUGCUGUUAUGCAAUCCAUACUUGUCAGAAUCUACAAUCUGACUUGUGUUGCCUGGGAUAUUGAGCAGUGCAUUAGCAUGGAGGAGAUCAUCAUCAUGAAGGAUAGCAAGCUGUUUCUCUCCUCCAUCCCUCAUUUAUUCACUUGGACAUUCAAAUCCUCUACUUGAUAAAUCACUUCUCUUACACAAGAGAUUUGUUGAGAUGCUCUCCAAAAAAGUUCUGAAUGAGGCACUCUAUCAGUAUGACUUCAGAUGGCGUUGUAUGUGUUCACUAUGCUGCGAGCAACUGCAACCAACCGUGUGCUAAAGUCAAUAAAAAACAGAGUUGGAUAUGACAAAGACUUAAAAUAUAUUUUUUAAGGGAAACAAAGCCCGGAUGAACCCAGCUUGUGAACAUGGUUGGACAUUACACUAACAGUUUUCUCCAUUCAUUUAAAACGUGUUAAUAUGUCAAUGUUGUUUGGCCAAAAGGUUUUUGGAUUGUUUAAGAUAACCUACUAAGAUAAGAUAACAUUAAAAGUACAAGUUGAUUAAAGCGUGGAUUGUGCUUAAAUUGCUGUACUUAUCAAUAACCGGUCAUGUUAUUAUAACGAUUUAGUUCAUAGAACCUAUAUUGUAUGUCUCAGUUUCAGACAGAGAAUACAAAUACAUUGAAAAUGAUGCAGUAGAUGUUUCAAAGUAGACUGCAAACUCUGCAACUUGAAUGCAACUUCUGUGUUUUAAAAAUCCUAGAUAAGCCUGCCAAAGCAAAGGUCUCAUAUUUUGUCAUGAAUCUUUAGCCAUACUGAGGUUUACUCUAAAGCCUGCAUUCACUUGUUGUAAAUAUUUUUUUGGUGUUUUCUCCAGAUAGUGAAUAUUGCAUUUUGGAAUAGUCCAAUGAAAAAUGCAUCUUGAAGGGCGAGGACUCAUGGCUUUUAGAGCAUUUCUCAGCCAUACCAGGUUAUCGCAUGACUGUUUCUUCUCUGAUGGUGCAAUGAUCAAAUAUAAUGGGGAGGGUUAAUACUCCCACAGCAUUUUACUCAGGAAGAAAUAUUGGAAGCUAAAAUGGCCCCCUAGGGAUGCAUAAACAAAUAGCCUGUGAGGGAAAGUUUUUACUCUCCCUCUCUCCCUCUUCUCCCUCUUCUCCCUUUUCCCCAACCUCUUCAGUGUCUAUCUCUCACUGUCUCUCUCAGCUCGUGUCUUUCUUGUGUGUCUACCCCUCCUCAACAGCCAGAAUCCCUAAAAUCCUCAUUUUCUAUGUCUGUCUUGUUAGGCACCUCUCUGUAAACAUUCAGAAAGUGGAAACUUUCUGGUGAGUAUUGUUUUGGCAGUCGAGCACAGCAAAGAAAUGGCAAAAUAACCCUUCCCAUUGCUUAGUGGCGGCCUGCGCUGUCUCUCAGCUGACAUGUUCGAAUCAAUAAUUCACAUCCAGUGAGGGUGCGUGUGUCUACAUGCAUGAUGUGGGUUUUUUUCAAGCCAGUAUCAGCCAUCAGAGAGGCCUCGUGCUCUGUGUCUGACAGAUCGACGUGUUGGUUUAUCAGGCAGAUCCUUGGUCUGAUAUCAUUUUCACGGGCAAUUAAAGUCAGCAGCAGGUGCUGAAUCUCGGCUAAUAAGGACUUACAUAGUCUAUACAAGGUUAAUUGACAAAAAAAAAUGCAAAGCUGUUAGUACAUGACAAGUGAAUAUCUGUGUGUUUCUGCUGGAGUAUGGCUUAUGUACAGGCUGUUGUGAGUGUGUGUGUGUGUGUGUGUGUGUGUGUGGGUGUGUGUGUGUGUGUGUGUGUGUGUGUGUGUGUGUAUGUGUGUGUGUGUGAGCCUUUCCAUGAACACACAGAUAUUAAUAUUCUGGAUGCAGAAGCAGGUUUGCCACUGGCACUAUUAUCUUUGUGGAAAAACAAAAUGAACACCACAGUCCGUUUUAAAAUGGCCUCGGCAAGGUGCAGCAGAUAAUCAUAUAAUUUGCAGAUUUAAUUGGAAAUAUAAAUCCCAAUGCACACACCAUUACGGGCAGCUUUGUUAUCCACCUCGCCGAUUGAUGCAUGAUGACACUGCAAAUGCGGAGGGUCACCCGUGUCACUUUUAAAUAUCACGGCACCCUGGUAGAGCUGAUUGGAGCACCACGAACACAUUUAAGUUGCUGUUCUCGCAUAUUGCUGAGAGAAAUUACCUCUUCAACUGUCUCUUUCUGCAGCAGCCGAGAUUGGCUAGAUUUCUUUCCAUGCUCAUUUUCUCCAUUUGACAGAGUGUGGCUCUGCUCAUGUUGCCGUUGCUGUUGUUUUCUUUGCAUGAAAUUUCACCGAUAUAGCUUGCGUACUUUAUUCAGACAUUUCAGUCUUGUACUAUACGGGAUGUGUGAUAGCGCGAUUAUGUCAUUAUGAUAUUUCAUCUGGCAGUGGGGGUGCCUGAGUUGGUGGUCCACCUGAAAUGGCUGCAGGCUCCCCGUACAUCUCCAUACAGUAUUGCAGCAGAGUGUAAUGCUUUAUCAAUAAACCACUGGACCGUUUGCUGUUUUCAUAAUGGAGUCGAGAAAGCGCGCUCUGGCUCCUAAUUACCGAGGCAAACAGAGCUUGGCAGCAAUUCAGUAGAAAAAAGUGGAGGAGAAAUGGAUGGGAGGAGGAGAGGGGGGAAGGACACGAGAAGAAAAGACCUUAAAAGAACACCGUUUGCUUGCUCAUCCCAAACCCAAAGCUAAUUAUAUCUGCUGAAGCAAGAGGAAGGUCCUCUCAUGCCCAGUAGACCCACCUCGGGCAUCACUGUUUGUCUCUGCAGGUAUGAUUAGUCCAGUUCACAUUCUCCACCUAAAUUUUGACUGGAAUUACUUUUUUGAGGACAUAAGUAAUGUCGAUUGUCGACUAUACAGAAUCAUAAUUUGAUGGCCACUGUGCAACACCCUUGGCUAGAUCUCACGUGGAAACCGAGAAAAAAAAACAAUCAAAGGGUAAAAGCAUCUGGAGGCCAUUUGAAUCUGCACCAGAUACAAAAUCAAUAUUAAAAUGAAAGAGGCAAUUAAAAAACGGAAAGGGCUUUCAGGUAAUUGUGUUGCUAACAAGGGACGUGAAUUGGCUCUUGAGAUUGUGCUCGCAAAAACAGUCAGUUUUAACACACAAAAACUCAAGAGAACGUAAGCUGGGGUGCAGUCUGCACCGUCACACUGUAAGAAAAACUGUGUACAACAAUGCGAGUGGUUAUGGUCCAGGUUGUUGCCAGUAAUGCUAAAGUGUUGAUGCUAAGUUACACAUCCAUUUUGCACCUAAGUAUGCUUAAAUUUGCUGAUUAGCAAAAUAAACAAAGUACAGCAUAGGUUUGUGGGAAUGUCAAUAGUUUAGUUACUCAAAUUUAAUUUAUUUAAGUCCUUUCGGGGACCACGAUCGUCGAAAAAAAAUGUCAUGCAUGGAAAUCCCUCCAAAAGCUUUACUCGAAGCCAGCUAAGACAUGUGUCGUGGACAUAACAUAAAUAAAUACUCAAACCGAUUCAAACGUAAUGUUUUUAACAGGCAACUGUGCCGGCAAGCGGCGUGAGGGGCCUCAGCUGUAAGGAGUAUGAACUAAUUGUGUUGUUCCCACAUAUAAGCAGAGGACUGACGGACGACGGGCAGUGGGGAGAACGACGCAUCCUUGUUAGUCGGUGCAUAGGAAAUUAAAACCUUUGUACGAGUGACUUGUCUUUACGCUUUAAGAGAACCCAACAGGUAACAGGCAUUGCUUACAAUCACGUGGAAGAGAAAGUAAAAAACCACCAAUCUUUUUACCGUCUAUUCUUGGCUGGUUUGACUAUGAGCUUCAUUACAGAAAAAAAAGGAUGUUUACUACUGUGACACUGAUGAGCUCCAAAAAAUGUGGAUGUGUGGAUACAGGCGUCCGUGUGGUAUUGAGCAGUGUCUGACAGAUCCUAACCCCGGGCCAUUGGCCAGCUCUAAUGACUAUUGACAACAACCUGAGCCUCUUUGACUUUCAACCUAAUUCACUCAUGGAAAGAGGAAAUCAGUGCCUUAAGAAUGCCAGCGACAAAUAGAGUUGGGGAAAUCAACAUCUAGGCUUCGACUCAGUCUAAAUUCAGUUAGAAAACAGCAGUCAGUCUUCUGUAUCUUUGAAUUAAACAUGCAGUGCUUUUACCCCUUUAUUUUCAUUCAAAUAUUCAUGGUUUGGAAAUUGCCUACUUAGAGGUCGCUCUAUAAGUAUGAGACUCUUUUUGGAGGAUUUUAUAAUAGAUUAGAAAAAGACACGAGGUUGGUCACCGGUGUCUUUUUAGUGAUUACCUCAGUAACACCGGUCUUGAAACCCGUGCACUUAUGUGAAUAUGGCGUUAUGUUAAGAGCACAUUGGUACAAGAGGCACUAAUGACAGCACUUUAGCGUAUAACAAUAAAAACUUGUGCUCAUAUAAACUAAGGUGUUGCACCCAAUGAAUACGCAGUAGCCUUUGAUCACAUUAGCCAAACGUUCUUGCUAAUUUUCCUCAAUAACUCAAUAAAACUUCUGUUUUUACCAUUUCAAAUUACUUUAGAGCCAUGAAGGUUUAAUUCACAUAAAGCUAUACCAAACGAUCACAUAUCAAAAUUGUCAUUAUGGUCAUAAAAAAGGAAGAUUUUAAUAUAAAGGAAGGUGAAGGAAAAAAGUCUUUCUAACAUCAAACUAGUUUUAACAUUGAAAAGCACCUAACAAAAUGAAUGCGAUAUUUAAUCUUUAACCACCACCAAGCCAAAUCAGUUUGUCACCUCUCAGCGCACUUCAGAUUUCCAUAGGGCGUUAUAAUUAUUACAUGUCAUUUAGCAGACACUUUUAUCCAAAGUGAUUUACAAUAAGUGCAUUCCAACCAUAAGAAUACAGACACAAAAGAAACAAGAAAGUGCAAUUUCAUCAAAUAAGCCCAUCUGCAACUUCCUAUAGAUAAGAGCCAUUAUAAGUACAAUUUAAGUGCUACAAUUUGUUAGUCAAGGUAGAGUCUGAAGAGGUGCGUCUUUAGUUUGCGGCGGAAGAUGUGAAGACUCUCUGCGGUACUGAUGUCAUCAAGAGAGCUCGUUCUACCAUUUCGGAGCAAGGACAGCAAGGAGGAGUGAGUGGGAGAAUUUCAGAAGGUUAAAGACCAGUCGAGCUGCUGCUGCAUUCUGGAUGAGCAGCAGAGGUCGAAUGGCGGAAGCAGGGAGACCUGUGUGGUGGAAGAUUUUGCACAGACAAUCGUUAAGUAAGAAACAAAGGCUCUGAGUCAAGUAUGUCUUUUCUCCGUUUAUUUCCUUGCAAGGGAAAGAGGGUCACAACAGCUACGUGGUCAGUAGACUGUCAAGAACCUCCUCUCCGCCCCCAACACAUCGAGGCAGUUCUUAUACCCAAGUUUAGAUAUCGGUGGUGUCAACAGAAACCUUUGACCAUCUUGUUUAGUAUCUACAGCCAGGGUACUGGGAACAUCUUAUCCAUGUAAGACACGUCAGUUCUUUGACAGUGUCCUUGCUCUCCCAACAUGCGAGAACAAAUGUGGUCAUAGACAUAAACACUUUGUUCAAUCUCUACAGCUAUGACUGCUGGAAACAUCUAAUCCAAGUGGGAGACUUCAGUUCUUAUGUCAGGGCCUUUGUGAUCUAUCCACUUGCAACUAAUAAACUGGUUAUACAAAUGAAGCAUUUAAAAGGGUUACAUAUUAUUUUCCCAUUACACCUGCCAGGAGGGAGUUGCAGUAGUCCAGGCGGGAGAAGACAAGAGCCUGAAUCCGUAACUGUGCCGCCUCGGAGUGAGAAGAGGACGUAUUCCUCUGAUGUAGAGCGUGGAUCUAUAGGAUCGUGUUGUCGCAGUGAUGUCGGGAGUCAAGGAAAAUUGGCUUCUAGUUCCUCAGUCAAAGUGGCCGUUAACACGGAGUUACCAAAGUUAACAGUCAAGUUCUAGGUCGGAGAAUCUUUUCCCGGAAAGAGUAGUUCAGUCUUGUCGGGGUUGAUUUUCAGAUGGUGUGUGGACAUCCACUGAGAGAUGUCAGUCAGAGAUCCGUGACCGCCACCGGAGUGUCCAAGUGAGGGAAGGAGAGAAUUAGUUGGGGGUCAUCGGCAUAGCUGUGGUAGGAGAAGCCAUGCGAGAGAAUGACAGAGCUGUGAGAGUUGGUGUAGAGAGAGAAGAGGAAGGGACCCAGGACGGAACCCUGAGGAACUCCAGUAGUAAGACAAGGUUCUGACACAGAUCCUCUCCAGGUUACCUGGUAGAUGCGGCCAUCAAGGUAGGAUGAAAGAAGGGAGAGAGCAGAGCCUGAGACACAAAUUGUCACGGAUGCAGGGAAGGUAGGACUCAAACGCAGAGUUUCAAACAAAAAUACUUUAAUGGUCAAAAACUCAAAAAAAGCAAAAAGGCCAAGGGGCAAAAACGGCAAUGGGAACCAGGAACGUUCAACAAUGACGCAACAAGUGACAAUAGACACACAUGGCUUAAAUACACUAAGGAGGUGCAGGUGAUUGGACACAGGUGGAAACAAUCAGACACGGCAGACAAUCACCGGGGAUGACAGGACAAGGCAGGAAGUGAAGUUACCCGGGGACACGAGUAGCAGAAAACUACAAAAUAAAACAGGACGUGAACCCAAACGUGACACCAAGUUCCUGAAGGGAGGAGAUAAGGAUCUGGUGGUUUACUGUGUCAAAUGCAGCAGAAAGGUCCAGAAGGAUGAGGACAGAGGAGAGAGUGUGGAGUUCUGAGACCGCGAGGAGAGCAGUCUCUGGAAUGGCCUGCCUUAAAGCCUGACUGGUGGGGGUCUAGGAGGUUGUUACGGUUGUUAACUCUUGCCUCCUUCAGAGAGUUUGGAAAACAGACAGAUGACAGAACAGUUAAUGAGACAGGUUAGGAAAGGAAGACGGUCAGGAGCGAUAGAUUGUAGGAUAUGGGAGGGAAUGGGGUCAAGAGGGCAGGUGGUCAGACGGGCAGAGGUUACAAGGGUAAAAACUUGGUUAGGGGACAGGGGGGUGAAAGAGGGAAGCGAUAAAGGUGAAGUCGGUGAAACACAAGUAAUAGGAGAUUGGUUGUAGAAAGCGUCAGGUAUUUUUUUGGUAACAUAGUUGACAAAGUCUCCCGGAAGAAGGGUGGAGGGGGGAGAAGGACUCUGGGAUUCGAGGAGGUUGGAGAAGAUAGAAAAGAGUUUUUGGGGGUUAGAAAAAGAGGAUUCAAUUCUAGAUUGGUAGAAAAAGCUUUCAGCAGCAGAGAUAGACGCAGAAAAAAGGAGAGAAGAGAUUGAAACACAAGCAGGUCAUCAGGUUGUUUAAAUUUAUGCCAUUUCCCUUCCAGUACUCGCAUAGUGGCUCUCACGGCACGCACCGGUUCAGACAGCCAUGGAGCCGGAUGGGAUUUUCCAGCCUGUUGUGUCGUAAGAGGGCAGAGAGAGUCAAGAGAGAAGGACAGGGUUGAGAGAAGAGUCUUUGCGGCAGCUUUCGGAUGUAAGAGUGAGAAAGAGUCAGUUGCGGGGAGAGCUGAUAGAACACAGGAGGCCAGAGAGGAGGGAGAGAGGGAGCCAAUAUUGCGACGAACCGUUACAUGUUAGUCGUUAGUUAGAGAGAGCGGAAGAGAGUAGGAGAUGAAGAAGUGGAGUUACAGUGAGGUUAGCGGUAAAGCAGUUUCUAGUGAAGAUGUAGUCAAGGUGAUUUCCGGCUUUGUGAGUAGAAGGAGAGGGACUGAGUGACAGAGCAAAAGAAGAAAGUAGGAGUAAAAGGUCAGACGACCAAAAUGCCUCUGCCUUUGGAUAGACCUAAAGCCAAUAUAACUGACAAAACUGUGACCCUGUCUGUCCGAUGUAGGAGGCCAUUCACAGCACAUUAGGGUGGUGUUAAGUGGGUCUGCCAGAGAAAAUAAAACAUGAGCUUGCAGAUUCUCCCAAUUCCCAGACCACCGUUUACCAUUUUUUUUCCCGGAACUAAACCUCGUCCCACAGCAGCACCUCCACAGAUUCCUAAACUCUAAUUAUUCAGAAGUUUGGCAGAGGAGUGAGGCCAUGAAGAGGGAGGGAAGGAGACGUGGAAAAACAAAAGGGUAUGCUCAGCAGAGAAGCUUUUACCUCAGAUAAUGAGCCGGUAAGGGGAGACUGACCGAAUGAGGCAGACAGAGACCAGCUGAUAACGUGCACACAGAGAGCAGCAGCCGCCAGCUAGCGGCCAUUUCACGGCAAACAUCUAAAGGAUACAGAUGAGAUCAGAGUUUUUCUUUUUCUCCAUAGGAAGGGGGAGUGGUGGCUUUACGACAUAAUUAAGGUGGCCUCAGACAGAGCACAAAGUUACCCUUAGUCUUUGAGUAAGCGACAAUUCUCUGAAGUUCAUCCCUUCAGGCCUAACUCUCAGAAUGUUAAAGUAACCUCCUUUUGUCGUAAUGAUCAUAACCCAUAGCUAAUGGAGCACCAAACGACGGGUAAAAGGAUUCAAAAAGUGGCUUGAAAACAUUGAAUUAAAAUCAUAGAGUUUCCAAGCGCUAAUUAAGCUGCGGUCAUCAAGAUCAUUAUUUUUCACCAGUGUCUCAUGAGAAGGAAAACCAGACCUAAUGAGGAUCAAAUGCACAUAUAGAGCAUGCAAGUUUGAUGACAUGUACAUUAAUAUGACCAUUUUAAAGCUGUAUAGUAAACCCAACAUUUAGGCUUUAGUGGCAUUUGGAGUUUAGAAGAUACUUAACACAAGAAUGGUUCAUUUCACACUGUAUAUUGUUCAUUUUUGAGGCAUUUCAUUGUAAUGUUAAAGAACAGCACAAUAGUAAAACAGAUCCGAACCAAAUUUAAAUUAACUUCCAUUUUCUUAGUCAAAAUGAGAAGGACAUGGAUUCGUGGAAGGGAUGUGACUGCAGGAAAUGAAAAGCCUUGUUCAUGCCAAGAGAGGAAUCUUCAAGCAUUUAUUUACUUCAUGUGGCAGUAAGUAAAUAAAUGCUUGAUGAUUACAGCCUACAACACUGUGGUAUUGAAAUAGUAAAAGGCAUCGUUAUUGCACAUUAUUCAGAGUCUACACCUCUGUAGGGCAGAUUAUGUUGCAGUAUCAUCUUUUUUGACAUUAUUUUAUUGCAUGCAAAAUGUUUCUAAGUAAGAUAACUUGAUUGUAUUAUUGGUUUUAGAAAAUGUGUUAUGUUUCAUUAGAACUUUGUUUUAUUAUCUAAUUCGUGUAUAUAUUACUCAGCAUAGGGUGUAUGUGCAUUUUUAAGAGGCCAUAAAAUGGACGAGGUGAUGGAGGAGGACAGUUUGCCAUUUCUAAUUGCCAUGGUUCCUGUUGCCUGGUUGCCUGGAAGGCUGUGCAGGAAUGGUGCAGACACAAAUAUUCUCUAAUGAGUAUUAAUCUAAUCACUGUCUGAUAUAAACAGGGCCUCUGUUUGAAUGUCAGACCCCCACCGCCAUUGCUACCUGCGUCUGACAUUUAGGACGAGGGCAUUUGCAUUUUCAAAAAAAAAAAAAAAGUCUUGACAAAUUGAAGGACAUUGAAGGGGGGUGCUAAUGACGGCCUGUGAAAAUUACCUCGUCCAUCCUUUAGAAGAAAUUCUCAAACAAGAAACUUGUCAUUUUCUUAAUUAUGUAAUUGUGUCUCCUUGGGAACUGAAUGUGCUUGAUGCCGGUGGCUUUGUCGAAUUUAGAGCUGCAUCAUACCUCCGCUGAUAGUAACCAAAGAAAGUACGUUCCCUUCAGAAAAUCAACGUGAAUGUUGAUCACGUUACUGAUACAGCUCAAGGAAUAUGUGUGUGUUUUGAAUAUAUUUUAGCAUUGAGGUGUGAAGAUCUGUUGAUGUCAUACACACAACAAAGAAUAGCACUACAGCACCAGUGGGAAAUAAAGCUUCUUGUGUGCUCACCUUAACAAAGAAAACAGUGAAAACUGCACCCUUGUCUGUCUUGUUUACCUCAGUAGAUUGAGAGGGUUACCUCCACGGGCACGGGGACAUGAAUAAUGCCUACCACCUGCACCUGUUUCCUCUGGAUGCUGCGGCUUUAAUUACCUCAAUUAGCAUUUGGGAGAUUGUUUGUAAGGAUCUGUAUCUACUGUGAUGGAGCAUACGCUCGGAGGGGAUGCUAACUCAAUGGAAAAAAAACAGACAAAUUGUCUUCCACCUUAACCUUCUGCAGUAGUUGUGACUCGGAGCGCACUUAGAAUGAGUUUUGUGCCUUGCCAAGAUGGAGAGAUGGUGAUAAUGUGCUGACACGUGAUUAAAUAAGACGCCGUGCUGCUAAACAUUAGUGUGUCUUGGGGAAAGAUGGCCGCACCAUCAAAAAAUGAGGAAGCGACUGGUAAUCUCUGAUCUGCAGAUCAACAAAACAGCAUUAUUUAAAGACACAAGAUGACACAAAUGUAAACUAAUGGAAUUCUCAGACUGUUGUCCUCCCUGCGGAAGUUAAUUAAAAAGUCUGAGGAAGGGAGUGUGCAGGUUUCAGCCUUCUUUUGUUCAGCUUACCCAUCCAAAGUAUCCUGCACCAUGAUUUUGUUCCCGCUUCAUCCGGUGAUCUGUAUCGUGUGAUUUGUCCCCUUUCAUUUCCAUAAUGGCUUCCUGAGCUCCCUCAUGGAAACAUAUGGAGACCCCUUCUCACUGUAUAGGAUUUGUCCUGCGCUAAUGGAGCUGAGAUUGGAUUCUGGCACUUAUGUGUGCGAAGAUGAUUCCUCCUUCUUAGUUCUGUUCUCCUUUGCCUCAUACAUAAUACAUAGGGUUAAAGCAGUAUUGCUUUGCAGGAUAUCUCAUUUAUUAACAUGGAAGUCUCACAGGGAUCAGAAAGCUCAGCAUCAAAGUUUGCCUCUUCACUCCUCUCAUCAUCACUGAGAAGCACUUGAAAUUUCCACUAACAUCUCUGAAUACGACUGUAUUCAUUUCAAAUUUAAUAAUCUGUCUUUACCAGAAUGAAAAUCAAAUUUUCACACCGAAAAUGAGUCUUUUAGGAGCUUUUCGGAAAGAAGGACAUGACAUUAUUAGAUGAAUGGGCAUACACAAAGCAUGUGACAUGUAACUUUGUCUCGGGACACUGUUGUUGCAUCAUGUAUCCAGCCAAAUGUUCAUCAUCUUCUGUACCUUAUCCUUAACCAGUGUACUUAUUAUAUAUAUUGUGACAUAUCUCAAACCACCAAAACCAACGAUAAAUUAAUCUAAUAUAAAAAAGUAUAAUCUGUGUGGCCAAAGCCGCUCCAUUUUUGUCCAAAAACUAUAAACAGCACAUCAGACACAUUUUACUAGGCGGCAUGUUGCUUCAUUAUGAUGAACGCUGUAGUUCAUUUUGAAUCAAUCUCACACACACACACCAUGCUGCUGCCAUAAAUACUCAUUAGAGUGGUGCGCGUGUAUUAAUCCACACCUGAAAGUAGUGCCUAACAAAUGCAUAAUUUAAUGCUGGUUGCUUAUGCUUCUCCAGCUGUUUUAGGAAAUGACUGAACUUUUUUUGUAGCUUUUAAAGGGCUACUUUUUUCAUUAGAGUGUUUGUGAGUGUUUUUUAAAAUGCACAUAUUCAUUAGAAACACAAGGACCACAGACAGGUAAGAUAUGAUGCAGAUCAUAAGUAAUUUGGAGGAUCCUGUGGCUCCUUCUCCGUCAGUGCUUUUGAUCUGAAGCAUCUGUCCAUUACUCUUUAUGGUGCUGCAGAUCUUUGCUGGUCUUGAUGGCUGUUGAACUGCAAAACCUCCUAAUGCAGCAUUUCAGGUAAGCAAUAAAUAAACAACAUUUUUUUGACAGCUUUCCUCUACGAAGUUAGAGAGGGCCAGUUGGAGCCCUGGACCACAUAUGAUUUAUUUUGUAAUUAGCUGAAGACUAGAACACAAAUUGAGUAUUUAACUGAAGCAGAAAAUCCUUAACUCUGCCCUUGCGUCCUCAAAGUAAUGGCCUCAAGCUUGUCUAUGUCUCCAGUAACUUGUGUCCAACAGGAGGAGGUCUUUUUAAACACCCGCUGCCCUCAGUCCAAGGUAGUUGGAGCCCAGAGCAAUUACCUCUCCCUCUCUAUUUCAUCCCCACUCGCUUCCCCCCACCCAGGAUGGAGCCACAUCUCCAUAAGUUAUUUCAUUAUCUCAGUAGCUCCGCUUUCUCCUUCUCUUCACUGCGUGGUUUGUCUAUCUCCCUGUAUGUAUUGCUUCCUUUGGGAGGUCACACACAAGGGUACGGCAUUAUCUACUAGAGGGCAUUCCACAAAGGAUUUUUGCUUAUUUGCUAGAAAUAACAAUCCAAGCUGCCACACUACUUCAUUCAUGGACUACUGCUAAACUGAGUUUCAGUCAUUGCUGUUUAAUUUAUGGUGAGGAGAUACUGUACCCUUACCUUUUAUUUAUUUUUAUUAUUCAUAUCUGUAUUUUGCGUAUUACGAGUCAGAGGACUACGUUUGCUGGUGCAGAAUGAACUAAAGGAUGUAGAUCAGGUGAAUAUUUGCUGUAAAAGAAUGAUGGAAAACCAGCUGUGAAGUAGUCGACAGCCAAAUGGUUACAACUGUCAAAUGGCCAAUGACACACCUGGAGCUUUGCAAAAGUAUUGAUUAAAUCCUUGUAGGGCUCCAGAUACUUAGCUACUUUGUUCUUCCAUGGCAGAAUAAUUAGCAGGACUCUUUGUGGGAUAUGGUUUAAUUACUUUUAACCAUCAUUAGGAAGCACACAAGAAGAAAUAGCCGGGAGCAGCAAAAAAACAUCUUUUGAUUGUCUUAUGAUGUAACGUAAGCAGUUGAAUUGUAAUUAGCAGCAUUCUAUUAUUAGUAGUAUUUGAGGAAGCUGAGCAUUUCAAUGCAGCCUCUUUGGGAGCAUUGCAACAAAAUGUAUUGGAGCAGCUGAAGCUUUGUAACUCCUCAAACUCCUGGCAACAAGUGAGCUUAUAUUUGCAGACUGUACGACCGACUUGACCGCGUUUGCCCGUGUUACAUGCAUUCAUUCAAGUCUAAUCAUCAUUAUAGAGUCCAUUGACCCCAUCAGAGCGCUUGUGAUUUAUUUAAAGUGUGUGUUUGAGAGCGUGUGUGCAUACAGUAUGACAGAGUGUUUGAAAGGUGUGUGUUCCCGCAUGUCUCUGCUCCCUCCUGGUUUGACUCUGUAGUGCUUUGAUUUGAGCGCGGUGAUCCAGCUAAGACUCGGAGCAAAUACACGGAUUAGGCCGCGGCGGUGCAGAUAACGCUCUGAUCAAAGUGGCCCCGCUGCUCCGACAGGCACAGAGAGGAAAAUAUGUUAAAGGGAGAGAGGCGCUGCGCGCACACACGCAUUCAGAGUCACACUUUUUGUUAAUCAGACAGACAAACAGACAUGAGAAGAUUGUCCUGCUUUAUUUUCCUAUUUUGUACAGAGAAUUCCCUCCAACCAGUCGGGGCGUGGGCCUCUCGUCGGGGGCGCCGUGACCAAUGAGGAAUUGCUCUUCCUCCCCAAUGAGGCGCAAACACUCACUCUCACUCUGUUUCCUUCUUGUGGUCUUCACCACGGUCCUGCCAACCUUCGGUUACAACCAGCAGACAGAAAGAUAAGAGAGAGUGCCCUAUCUCAACCAACAUCAGUUUGUACACAAAGGCUGCCCCUUGUUUGUCGAUUAGUCAACUAAUCAAUCUUUUUAGGCAAAGAUGUAUUAGUCGAUUAGUCAUUUUGUUACUCUUUUUCAAGGUCAAUGACUCACUUCCAAGAAACGCAUGACCACAUCUCUGGAUGCACCGAUCGGACUUUUUUGUCGAUACCUGGUCUUUAGGAAAAUUUUGAUGAUUGUAAUAAUAAUAUAAGUACAGAUUACUCAUUUUGUACCUGGAACUUCAAUAAUCUAUAAGAGCAAUUAUAAUUUAAAUCCAUGCAAUACAGCAACUGAUUCGUAAAAACUCAGUGUAAACAUUCAUAAACGUUCCAGUGUGAAUGUAUGAUGCAUUAGAGUUGGGUUAUUUACCUGCUAUUUUCGUUAGUAUCCACCUGAUUUCAAAUAUUGUUAUGGGUAAAUGUGCAUGAUUAGAAUCAUAUUUAAAAGUGGACUUUUAUGGGAUUCUUGUGAAGAAACUAAAAUUACUGUAAAUUACUAGUAAAUUAGUCAACGAAACCACACUGUGUUGAAAUGCUCCAAAAGUGUCACAAGUUAUAAUAUCAAUUCAGUGUCAUGCCGUUGCUGCCCCUCCAUCUGCAUGGUGGAUGUGUACAAACUGUGCUCGAUUGACUUCUCCCUCACAUCUUCCUGUGAAUAGUUUACACCACAGGCCGUUCUCAAGGAAGACAAGCUAAACCGAACCAAAUGAAUCAUUUAUUUAUCCACACAAGCACUACUACUGUGCAUGUGAAAAUGUCUUCAUUUUUUAUCAUAAUAGUCCCUGAAGAGUGAUAUGAGUACGACUAUUGAAGUAAAGAAAUAAUGACUCAUUAUUUAACAGAAAUGAAAGACGGGAGCUGAGGUUUGCUCGUCCAAACUGAUUGUGACACAAUGAUUUCUUCAUCUUUGGGGCAUCGCCACAGUUAGAAUUCUAAUUCAUGUGGAAAUACUAAUACAUUGUUUCAUUAAAUUUGCAUACAGUUAUUUUCUGUGAUUAUCUCAUUACUUUACAAGAAAAUGAAAGCCGAUUCUGUAUACAGAAGCCAGAUAAAAUAAACUUGUGUCCAUCACAACUGGAGAAUCCCUCUCCAGUCAACUACAUGCGUGAUAAUUAAAGUAAAGACUUACAAUGUUGUACUUUCACAAACAAGCCAUUCAUACCGGACGUCACCUGGCGUGCCCCCAGCUACCUGUACAGUGUAUUUUAGUUUAUUACAGCUUCACGUCCCUCCCUCCCUCUGCCAUAGAGCGAUACAGUACCGAUCACCAUAGUAACUCCUGAUGGGAGUCUUGCUGCAGUCCAGACUUAAAGCGUUGAAGGGCUGCGCCUCCGCCGGCAGCAGCUCAUUACUUAUCCACGAAGGACUGUUAACCACACUGAAAUGGAAUCAGAUCUAUUCACAACAAUGGUUUUAAUUAGAUCUGUGAGCGCGCCUGGGUGUACACUACAGCGUUUGUGUGUGUGCUUGUCAGUGGACGGCAGCCACCUUGAGACCCGGGAAUCCCAUGUGGAACCUGUGUGGAGCUUCCAAUGUUUAUCACCUAAGACUAAUUGAUUAAUGUGUUUCACCGCCGAUGUUGUCUACAGAACAAAUGGCGCACACACACACACACACACGUACGCACUCUCAGACACACACAUCGCUGAACUUUAUGUAAUUAAAGCCUGGACAGACCAUGUUUUUCGGAUGCGCCAGUGCUGAUGUGGAAAAUAAGAGGGGAUUAAUGCAGCCCUCUGUUAAUUCCACAGCCUGCUCCAACACAAGAGGCUGACCCCAUAUAGACAGUGAAUCCUUUGCAGUUAAUAGGGUAAUUAAUACUUAAGUCUUCCUAACGCUGUACCAUUUUCCAUGGCAGCGUGACGCUACACCUUUUGACCAAGCAGGGUGUCCGGGGAUUUGGGUACAAAUCUCCUCUUAACUAUCCAAUUUUAAAAGGCUCAUCUACUGUUUUUCUGUUUGGUGUCGCACUAGUUUGACAAAGGGCUACACCAUUAAAUGUAUUAUCCUUAGGAUUAUAAUCAUGCGUUACUUAAAACGGGAUCAUCUCUUCAUUGCUGCAAUCACACGCAUUUUCAGUAGUGAAAAGUGUCUAGAAUGAAGGAAACAACAAAAUAGUCCAUACGGCUACAUAUCAUACUUCAAAGUCUGAUGCCCAUGUCCGUCUGACAUUUGAGCAACGCAAAGCGUGACAUGUCAAGGACAACAAAUAAUAAUAAUAAUAAAUUGAAAAAGAGUCUUGAUGUCUCCCUGUUGGACCGAGAAAGGAUCAGAGGGAUGGAUGACAAAGGAAAUGGUGAAUUGAGAGCAGGGAGGGAAGGUGAGCAGGGGAGAGAGAGAGAGAGAGAGUGAGCUGUGAUUUCCUGUGCGACAGAGCCCCAUAGCAGACAUGGGAGGAACAGCAGGUAACCGAGCUAUGGAGAGAGGCUCAAAGAAACAUAUAUAUAUAUUUUGUCUAGAUACGCUGUGGCCCUGUGAAUAGACGUUUUUGUCUUUAGUUCCUUAUUUAUUUAUCUAAAGAAGGGCAGGCACAUUGCACACCGGGUUCCAAUUGGCGGGAUUCCUCGGGGGCUCCGACCAGUGGGGGCAUACUGCAGCUGGGUAGACACACCAACACUCAAUGCUAAAUUUUAAUUAAGCGCUUAACAUUAACAAACUGCUCUUCAAUGGAAAUAAACCCACUGGGAAGGGAAGAACUACCGUCUUUUUACUGUCUUCUUAAAUAACCAGGGUAGGCUGCUGGCUAACUAAGUCUUUAAGCAAACUUUGAAUCCUUUUUGAUUUUAACUAUUAGCAGCUUUCUAGAUGACGUGCUUUUUAUUCCAAUUCCCUAAAUACGGUGCAAACUGAAUGUCCUUGCACGGAUACAGUUUCUAUUCAAAUGAAUUCAUGAAUAUUGUAUCAUCUAUUGCUCUUUUGUUUCUAAACCCCACAGGUGAACGGUUAAAUAUUCAUAGCUGCGUCAUGUCAAAACUCAGGGAUGUGUUUUAUGAACUUGCAAAUGUGAAAACUGUAUAUUCAGUAAUAUUCAUUUGAAAUUGCCUCAAUUUAAUAAGAUACAGCUGAUGUAAGAUCAUAUGAUUUCAUACCGUCAUUCAUUCACUCGUAACAGCAAGUUCCUACCCAUUUGCUUUUGAUUUUAUUGAGUCCCUGUCACUCAAGAAAUACAUUAAAUGCGAAGAGAUUAUCUAGAUUUGCAUUCACAGCCGCCAGUGUUGUCAUUGCAGGAAGUUGGUUUGAAUUAAUCUCCCCAUUCUUAGACUGUGCAUGCACACACUUCUGUUGGUGACUGUAGGAUGGAAGCUGAGAGCUGGUGAGGAGAAGACUCUCAACCUAAGACCAUGCCUAAACUUGCUGUUUGUUUGCUGUUGCUGUUUUUUUCCCCUCUCUUUAGUAUUAUAAAACUGUGAUUCCUAUGACGUUUCAUCAGUUUCUAUUUGCAAACCACACCCCUUUCAUUUUGGAAUUACAUUUGUAUAAUUCAAGAAUUUACACUGCCCUUCAAGAUAUCCCAAACUCAUCGGAAUGAUUGAAUGGAAAGACGGUUUUACAUUCAGCUCCAUUUGUGUAAAAUGUGUGUAAUAAAAGUUAUUAUGGUCUCACCCAUUUUUCUUUUUAGGUGCAUUUUCUCAACACUUCUUUUAGUAAACCAUUAAAGCAGAUGAGCACAGAGAAGGGUUACUUCCUGAGAAAGGCCAACAGUCAUGUGGUCUGGAGCGUCUGAAGAGCGUUUCUGAAGAGGAAACCAGCUUUGAACUCUGACGCAGAUAAACCUACAAAUGUGCAAAAUGUGCAACAAAACUGAAAUGUAAAUGCUGGUGAAACAAAAAGCCCAGCAAAUUGUGUUUGAUCGUGAGCACACCCUUUUUUUCAAGAAAGAAACAAUAGAACCGCCACAGCAACCAAAAGUGUUAACAAAAGUUACAUCUGCAUUAUUAGUGCCGUUUAUGCAUCGUAUAUAUUGUGAUUUUCCAAGAUGUUUUAACAUCCAGAUUGGUGCAGCUCAUGAUAAAAGUCAACUGAGAAGAACGCAGACUUGCAAUGACACGAUGCGUCCAUUUAAUCCAAGACUAUAAAAGUGCUGAAAGGUCAGUGUGGUCCAAAAAGCAAGCACAGUACUCACAGUCUGUGCAACAUAACUCGGGAACAAGAGCAUUUUCAACCUUUAAAUAUGACACGUCCAGGGAAAAGCCUAUGAGACAAGUGUGACCACUCUCAUUUGUGUGCCUCCUCUAAAUGUGAGGACUACACACAACGAUGGCGCACAAUAGUAAGUGGCAUAGCCGGGUCCAAAUAAUCAGCUGAAUGAAUGCAUUUUUCAGAAACCAUUAUUCGGAUGUGGCGAUGCGCGCACAACAGACGUACCCCACAACAAACGGAGGCAUCUGGAGAAGGGGAAAAAAAAGUUCUUUUCACUGAGCAGGCAUGAUAAGAGCGUCUGUAUUUCCCCUCUCCUUUAUCACUUGCCGUCCCAGACAAUGGAUUGAAUUUCAAAAGCCAAUAAACAAGGGAGAUGUCCAUUCUGCAUGGCAGUUAUCACAAGCCAGCGUCCCACUCUCAUUUGCACGCGCUCCCUCCCUCCUCCUUUUCCUUUCCCCCUUUUUGCUGAAAUGUGUAGGAAAAGAGAGAUGGAAAUUAAAAUCGGGGAGGGAGCGUUGCGAGAGAAGAAAGAAGAAGAGGAGAUGAGACGCCUUCAUGCUCUGGCUCUCCUUUCAUUGGACUGAUAAAGGAAAGCAUCAAGGCCAGGAGUGGAUGUGUUUUUUUCUGGUAACUGAAUGAGGCUUUUGAGGGUGAUAGUGGGGAGCUGCUCCCCUGAGAGAUGUUUGGAGGAAAGGGGAGUGGUGAGCCAACAUAAUAAAUAUUCUUAUCUGUUAUUGUCAUUGUAAUGGGACAGGGCAGAGGGAGGGAGGAUGCGACAGCGGAUAGCUCGGUCGGUGCCAAGGGACCUGACUGUGUUGACAUGCAGAAGGGAGAAAAUCAAAGGAGAAACGGGGAAGUGAGAGAUGAAACCGAGCGCGAGAGAGAUUUUAAGCCAGAGGGAGCGUGCGUGUGCUUAUUAAUGGGUCGUCGUGGUGGAAAAGCGGAUAUAAACAAGAAAUGGUGACAAUGAGGCUUUUCUCCUGCAGCCUAUUGCUUUGCUGUAUCACUCACUGCCAGGUGUUCUCAGCAGGAGGGAGGGAGUGUGGUUAAGUUCAAAUGAAAUAUCAGAAAUGGGCAAUUAUGUCGGUUUUCUUGAGGAAACAUUUGCUGUACACAUGUUGGAAGGCCUAAGAGCCCAACUGCACCAGACGUUGUGACAGCAAAUUUGACAUCAACAUCAGGUCACUGAUGAGCAUUCAUGCAGCUCAACUUUGUGUUGGCUAAUUGUGAACCAUCUUGACCUCAAGCUUUAACAAAAAAAGAUGGACACAUUAGCUGUGUCACCAUCCAAAUUUAGUCUUAUUAAAGUCUAAUUAAAAAGCACUUCACAAAAGAGAUGCACCAUGCUUUGGAGUCAGGACAGAGUGGGGAGGAUGUGGCAAGUUGAUUAGUUUGAAGUAGCUGUGUUAGCAAUCAAUCAACACCAUCACAAGCAACCCUGUCUCCCAGCGGGUUUAGUCAAAAAAAUCUGAUUAAGCCUAUGGAUUGACUUUGGUUAUGGUAAACACGAUUGAUAAAGUGAGGCAAAUGAGGAAAUUGAUAUCAUGUUUGUAAAAUAAACAUGAAGCUGGUUUCAGUCAGCUGAGCAGAGAGUGGGAACAGGGAGGCGUUCUAAAGGCAAAUAUGUUGUCAUACCAUUCCCUGAGUCAAAUGAAAAGAAUGGUCCACACUUGAUUUUGAUCAUUUUAACAUGAAAGGGUUUACACAAAGCAGAUAUAAGGAGGCAGUAGGUGAGCCAGCGGGCGUAUGUAUUGGGCAUCCAUCCAUCUGUAGACCUUGGCAAAUGCUGCAGGAUUUCUCCUGCCUAUGGAAGACCCUGAUGAUGGCCCCCUAAUGGAACAUCAUUUUGAACACAUCUCCUAACCUUCAUAUAUUAUCAUCCAAUAUAUUGAUUCAUCAUCCGUAGACACCACGCUCCAAGAAUCCCCUUUCCCUCCCCCUUUUAAAUGGUCUACUGUGGACAGUCAAUGUGAGUUAUCAUGGUGGGACUCCACCUACAGGCUCAACGCUCUACGGCCUCCAAUACCCAGUGGACAACUACAGUGUCCAUCGUGUACAGAUGUAUUUCCAGCUAAAUGGACUUGCUGUAAGAUUUCACGUUAGCCCUGGGAUUUAUUCAUACACUCUAUAUAGUGUAUGAAUUAAUCCCCUUGUUAAGAGAAUAUAGAUAUUCUCUUAACAAGUUCUUGAUGGAUGUGAUGUAUAUUCCAUUUAAAGCACGCCCUAACUCUCUUCUUAUAGGUAAAACGUCACAAAGAGCUUCUAAAACAUGAAGUAGCCGUGUUCUGCAGGUGUCGAAACCCGAUACACUGACAGGAGAAAAGCUCCUCUCUGGGACUGCAUUCUGCCGGAGAGGAGGGGUGGGCGGGGCGGGUGAGGAGGGUCUAUGUGUUUCUCGUAAGGCAAAGAAACCAACGAUUCCCUUACUUUGUAUGUGCUUGGAUCAGUAGCGGGCAAUGAACUGUUUUCCCAUGCAGGAACUAAUCAAUGUGGCAUAAGGGUAUGUCUAUACAUUGCUCAUGAAGGGAUAAAAUAUAGUUUAAAAUGUAGUCCACAUUAGUCAGGUAGACAUAAACCACAAUACGCCAGAGAGAGAGAGUAAUAUUUGUGUCAGCGCACAACAGAAACAUGCAAAAGUGUAUCCACAGACAAGAGCAAUUUAGGCAAAAGCAAACGAGACAGAAAGAGAGAAAGCUUCACUAGAAAACACCUACUGUGUAAAGUCACCCUACGUGGAAUUUAGGCACAAAGAUUGUCCUGGCUCAAGGCUUCGGUUAUAGAUACCUGGUCCAAUCACCAACCAGUGGGCUAUCUUAACCUUACAUACUUGAGGUCAGUGCAUGGCAGGUUUUGCAAAGAAACGCCGUGGGCAGAUUCAACAUAGUGUGAGAACCAACUUCGCAAGUCAGCGUGCCGGAGCUGCAGACCAUGGAUGUUCAAGCAGAGCAGACAGGCCUUUGCCGCUGUCUCCAUUUAAACAAUAUUUUUAGGAGCAAGCGGCAAAAGAAGCAUACUGUACUAUUCCAUCUAACUGAAGUAUUUCAAGUUAUAAAUAAUGAUAUAUAUUUAUCAAAAUAUAUUUCAAGCAAUUGUGAAUUAAGAAUAUGAAGAAAUGAUCAAUAAAAUCAUGUAAUCUCAACAAUUCCUCUGUAGCUUUGAUGAGGCUUUGCUACACUGACCGCACAUCAGUGGUUUGGAUGUGCUUCCAUGCGUACAUGUUGCUUUGAAAUGUGCAGUACAAAAAAUCCACCAACGUUAUUGAUUUUGUGGUAAAGUUUCACAAAGUACAUACUCAAGUCAUGCACAAACACACAAGCAAACACAGACAUGUAGUGGUCUCUAUCUCAUUCUGAUCUCCUUGUAUUUUAGGCAAGCUGGCCGCCAGGCUUUAUGCUCAGUCUGAUCAAUUAUUUAAGCUACCUUGAGCUCUCUGGGUUUUCCAAGGAUUUAUUAGGUCCAGCUGCUGGAAGUUUGGCACAAUGAAAAACAUGAUGCAUGGCGAGUGAGAGAGAGAGAGACACACACACAAAUACCACAGAGACUCAUCAGCCAUGUGCCACUUAUUGCAAAGCAGGCAACGUGAGAAAUGAAACAUCUGAUUUUCAAAGCGGCGAAUGGAAUAAAGUCUUUGCUCCUCAGAGGACAGCGCGCUGCUGGGGGAAAGAUGGACGAGUGGAGUACCCAUUUAUGUUGUGUAGGACGAUGCAAAUUACCCAAUAGCACAUUAUUCCUUGAGGUAUGUUGAUUUUAACUGUAAAGAGUGUGAUACAGGGAAAAAUACUAUGUGUGUGUUCGCGUGCUUGCCCGGGCUCAGUAUCCAAAAGUGCGUGUUUGCUCACGUUACUGUAUUUAGUGAGUGUGUCUGUGUGUGUGCGUGUUUUCUCCUGCGCAGUGGCAGCCUGCAGCAGUAAUGAAUGGGGCCUGGGGAUAGCUGAGAGGAUGGGAGGUGGCAGAUCAUAAAUAAUCAUUUAUCCCACCGUUUCCCCUGCCUCGCUGCCUGACAGACCGCUGGGUACAGGCAGGGAGAAGCCAGCAGUGCGAGCCGAGACGCAGCUGCACCAGCCACGACGCGCAUGUGGCCCCAAUGCUCUGGGGCAGAUUUUCUUCACAGCGGGUCUAUCUAGCUGAUACACCAGUGAAAUGAGCCGAACUGUAAAAUUGUGAAGACACAGGGUGAGUUGUGAUCUGUGGAAGAAGAAAAAAAAGGAUGGAGGACAAAGAAAAAGCCAUGCCGACAGACAAACAUGAAAACGGCUUGGAUAAAAGAAGAAAGAGGGGUGUGAAGUAAUGAAAAGGUACAUGUAAAACAAAAGCUGGCAUGUAUUGGUUCUGUGUGUUAUUUAUCUUAAAAUCAAUAACUACCUUAACCAUUCACUUGUAAUGUGUACUUCCAAUUGGAUCCCGAAAUUAAACAGUGCUUGAGGAAGUCAGCAGCACCUAAUGGCAGAGCCCGGGGGGAAAAUUCAGCCAUAAACACAGUUUUUCUCGCCCCCCCCCCAAGGAGCGUUGGCUUAUGAGUGGCUAAAAUGUGUUACAAACACAGGGGUGAUAAACUGAAGAUGUAUGAUGCACUUAAGAGCAUUGUCAAAAAGCUUAGUGCUAUUAGUCAAGCUACAUGAAGCAUUCACAAUCAUUUAGCCGUGUGGCCUAUGGAAGUGCAAUGGCUUGUGCAUCACGGCAGCAUGAUGCUGAUGACAGGAGAUGCAGAGAAGGAGACGUUCAUUCGGUAUCCACAAGGCGCGGUGUUCCAGAAUUUGCUUCGAAUUUCCAUAUGAUGAAGGGAGUACAAAGUACAUUCUUUAGGCCUGCACAGUUUUACUUUACUAUUUUGGAAAAUGCCGUUUUAGGACACAGGUUUUUCUUUUCUCCUUGUCUGCCAGCUUUGUCUGUAAGCCCGUCUGAAGUCACACGCAGGACUGUGUGAAAGCUCUAACUAAUACAAACCACCGUGAUUGUGUUCAACACUCAAAGAGCAACAUUAAUCAGCGCUCCAACACCUCAGCCUUCUCCAGCCGAGCAGAGUAAAUCAGGAAGAAGUUGGACGGGGAGAAAAGGGGGAAAUGGCUUUGAUUUAAUUUAUGGCUUCUGCUUUCAAGUCGCCACACGCCUGACUAAGUGUCAAAGUGGCAUUUAUGAUGUAUGAAAUUAAAUCACGGAGGGGAACACCACCGCACACAAAGCACAACAAUGCUGCACAUUUUUUUCUCACCUUAAUGGCUUAACUGAAAACGGCCUUUCAGUUGUUUGUAACAAGUCUCUCUCCAUUUAUCUAUUUUUGGCUAUUUCUUCAUCAGAACUGCAGGACAGUAAAUCAAAUUAAGCUUGUAAUUAAACAGAGGCCUAUUCGACCUAUUUGGCUCGUCACUGAUAUGGAUCAACGUUAGCGAUUGAUUACUUCCCCAAAGUGGUGUAAACAUAAAUCCAGCCAGCAUCAAAUGCUAAGAGAAGUAAAAAUCAAUGUGUUGAAAUAAUGCAAAAGUACUCCUUAUUUUUAAAAGCGGAAGUCGGAAAAGUCGGAAAAAAAGGAGUAAAAUCCACUUCCCUCACUUUCACUGAUCACUGAUUAGAUUUGAAUACUCUAUAACAAACCAGGGACUAAUGCUACACUAGUUAGAGAGGAAACACGUAGUAACGACCAAAACUUCAACCAAAAAAAAGGUAUUGAUGUGACACUUUAUGGAUCCCCACAGAGGAAUUUGCUUUAUGCCCUCUCCUUCCAAGUGGUUCAGAGCAAAGGGUCGGCUACAGUUCAGUGCCACUACAACCAGUAAUGCCCAGCAGGGUGUUACACUGUAAGUUUAUCAGAAGCACAUUUUGCACGGUAAACGCAUUAAGACUGAUAUGUCUCUGAACUUUAGGUUAAUAAGUUAUUACUAUGGCUGUCAACAGAUUUUUAAAAAUGAACUAAUUCAUUGCACAAAAUUAAUUAAUCUCAAUAAAUGGCCAUUGAUGAAUGUUGUUGUUACAAUGUUGUUUUUAAUGAAUGUUUGUUUUUCUUCUAAAAACUAAAUCAUAAAAAGAAUGAGUAAUCAUUUAGAAAAACGUGUAUUUUAGACACUGUUGUUUAAUUGUUAAUGUUAUUUUACAGUUGAUUGCUUUACAGUUACAGUUUUAGAUAGCUUAGCAUAUCGGUGCUUUAAGUGGUCCGUUUGACACUCACCCCCCCCUUCUGUUUGACACGCAAUUCCUCUGCCAACUUCUCCGCUGUCUGUCGCGUGUUCUAUUUUACUUCGAAUGCAAAAAGCUUUCUCCAUCUCGAUGUAACCGACUGCAGCCAGCGACGGUUCGUAAACGUAAAUGUACGUUAACUACAUUAAAAUAUUUUAUUGCAUUAAUCUCGGCCACAUUAAUUGCAAAGAUGAACGUGUUUAUGUUGACAGCCCCAGUUAUUACCAUCAUCAAUGGUUCAGCGUUUGCUUAGAGGACAGUAGCCCAUCUGCUAACAAAUGGCUCUUGUUCAGACGUCAUGGUCUCCAGCGAAAGAAUCCUCUGACUUUUCAUCUAGUGUCACUUUAGGUCAAAUACUUGCAAAAAACCUCCCUAACAGUCCUUCCUCUAUUUGCAAGACUGUGUUAAAUAAUUUUGAUUUUCAAAUGCAAAUGCUGUAUGUAGACAGGCUAUAGACUCUUGUUUAAUGUCAUUAUAUGUAAGAGAGAUAACCUUUCUAAAUAAUUAUGUAUUAUUAUAUCUGUUUGCAGUGUGUGGGAUGAAUAAAUGUUAUGCACAUGGUCACAUCGGUCCUAGCGUCACUCGUAAUUACGUCUAUGACAUUUUUUAUGUUACUUGUGUUGCCAAGUUGGUCAUCAUAAAAUCACAGGCUGUUACACCGGCCUGAAUUGUGAAGUUGUCUUGGCAUUCACUUCCGAAUCCUUGAUUAUCUUUUUAAUGAUUUUGCAGCAAAAGAGGGACAUUACAAUAAUUUGGGCCUGUCCUUCCAGACAAGCUGCAAGCCAAAGCACAAACAAAUCUCCAGUGCCUCUUGUGCCCUCUCUACAACAACAAAACAUCUAUAUAAUUUUUUAGUUAAUGUCGGAUUUAAGUACUUGGAUACUUGGCCAGUCAUAAAUAGGACUUGCAAGGUUUGAAGUUUAUGAGGAGUUCAUAACCUGGCUUUAAAAUUCUUCUGCAGUGCUUAAAUUACAAUAACGCAGGUGUCUUCAGUUUCUAGUUGUGCAAAACAGCAAUACAGGCUAUAGGGUUAUUAGUUUUUAGAUAGUAGUUAAUAGAGCUUCUAAUGAGGACAAGAACACUUCUUGCAUGAACAAUAACUCUUUACUGUCUUAACUCCAGCAUUAGAACAGUGUGCAUAACGCACUCUCGUACUCUACAUCGGGUUCACAUACCAAGCAUUUUACAUCACCCAAAGCGUACCAUGCUACUUCCUGCCUCUACAAAGUAAAAGCACUUCCUGUUAAGUAAGCUUCAAAUCUUCAGCUUAGCAAUGUACAAACAGUGUUACAGAAGCAGCAGAAACUAUAAAUUAUGCAAUCAAACUUUUGGGUAGAACUCACAUUUCAGUCUGGAAUUUUGGAAGAAAACGCCGAGCUUAUCUAUUCUGUUGAGUAUGAAGCACAACUGAAACAUGCUUAGAAUUUCUUUAUAUUUGACACAUUGUAUCAGUAUCUAAUCGAGAGGGAAGAAACAAAGAAGGCCUAAAGGCUGGCGCAUGCUUCUGCGUCUGCGUCUUUACGCACCGCUGUGUCGACGCACUCGUUUCAUUCAUGGUUCUAAAAGGCUUGCGUGUGUUGCAGAGUAAUUCACCGCCAGAACAACAGGUGGAGUAACGUGUUUUGUCUUGUGUGUGGAAGUUGUUGGUUUGUUUAUUUAUUUAUCAUAGACUUUAUUGCCCCGUGCAUCGCCACUGCUGCUUUUCAUCGCGGACACAUUUGUCCUGUAUUUUCCUCCACAACUUCCAUGAAUCCGAGGCCAUCCGCGCGUCCUUAUAGUCCACCAAUGACGGCUUGUAUAAGAGAUCAUAUUUACGGAUUUCUUCCCACAAAAGCACUUCAAUCAGUUCAAUCCAUUCUCUCGUAAAACUUUGUUUUAAUAAUGGCGGUAUUGUGCUAUCAAACCGGAAAUGUGAGACUCCGUAAAGGAUGCAGUUAGCAGACUAAUCAGCCUUGCGGGCUGCGAGAAACUUGCGCAGCUUUUGACGAAUGCCUAGAAAAAUGGGUCGACACACGCAAGCACGCAUGGAGGGGUGAAAAGGCAAGCAAGGGACACGCAAGGGGCUCUUGCGUCUCUGAAAACGCAGAAGCAUAAACUAGGCUUAACUCAUUACUUGCUACCCAAUACACACAUUUUUUUUUUUUUGCAUAACACCUUUUAUCUUUUACUUUCUAUGGUGCAUGACUCAAUAUACUAUGUGGUGAAAAUCCCAUCUUAAAUGCUGUGGGAAAAGUCCUUUGAACACCGGUUUCAUUAAUUAAUGUAGCGUCAUUUACAAUUAUAGUAGACUUAUAUGUAAACUAAAGGCAUGCACAGGUUUUUUUAUACACAAAUAGACAACAGCCUUUCCUUACUUUGCAUUGUAGCUUUUACUGUACCAGUAACUGAGAUACCAGUAACUGAAACCCUAUUUAAGAUGGUUUGACCCUAGCACUUUAGAUGUUAGGUGUGACCAGAGGCGUUAAUCUUUGGCCAGAAUUCAUCCUGUUCCUUCCAGUCUGAAUAAUGAGCCUCCGUCUUAUCCCCCACCUGCUAAAGCUUCCCCUCGUCUCCUCUGCACUUCAGCUCUUCCCACCCCAAUUUACCACCCUUAAUCUUGUGUCUGCUUCUUCUCAGGAAGUGGCUACCUUUUUUUUCUGCUGACUAACCCCCCCCCCACACAGCUACGCACACACACUGGGCACCAACAGAAGGUGAUGGGAGGAAGAAGGGAGGAGAAGGUGAGCUGCUGCUGCUGACGUUACUCGGCUCACAGGACUUGCCCGUAAAUGAACUCAUUUUUCAUCCUGUCUCUCUCCCUCCUCCCUCUCCUGUUAAUGACUGGCACUUUCCUCGUACGGAGCGCCGGCCCUCUGAAGAGCCUGGCGAGUGACAGAGCACCAUUCAUCUCCUCAUGGCGGAGGACAGUAGGGGGGGCCCGCUGAGGUGAGAGGUAAGGCUGGCAUACAGACGUGCGGACAGAUGCAGAGGAUGAAAGAGACAGAGACAGGUUGCAAUGAAGGCUAGAUUAAGGAACACUUCUAACAGUAGGAGCAAGUAGGAGAUAAAAGAGUGGAGGAAAGAGGAACUGGGAACCACAGAUGUGACAGGAACUCGUCUUUCCGCUCUCUCAUCUCAUGUGCCAAAUAACUCCAAUGCCAGAUGAACCAUCAAGAAAACCAAUAAUCAGCAUGUUUUCAUAUAGAAUUUUUUUACUAUGAUCAAAACCACAUUCCUCAAGCCCUGCAGCUAAUGAAAGCUUUUAUGCUCGCUGUUCUAAACACUUACCCAAAAGGAAUUUUCUGAGAAAAUCCUCCAGGGCAGAGGGGUUGAUGCCGUUAAUAUUUACAGAAAGAGCAACCGCAGCUUGUCUGGAAUAAGAAUGAAGCUGCUGUCGAGUUAAAACUUUUCUCCAUAAUGUCAACUUUUUAUGAACUGAUAAAAUCGGCCAUUAUUUCAGUUUGACAACCGUCUGUAUAAACGAGCACAAUGGAACAUGAACAUGCCUUGACAUUAGCACUUUCCCACCCGCCAAAUGCAGGUAAAUUGGCCUGUGCGGGCAAAGCAAUCCCUGGUACUAGCCACUUUGACGGGUGGAAUUCUGUAUAUCGCUCUCUAUAUUUUUUAUUGUAGUGUACUGGACUGGCUCAUGUUUAAUGUUUUGCGUUUGAGACAUUACGUCCCUUUAGUGUUGCCGUAGAGGCAAUAGGGUUGAGGGGUGAAGGCAGUUAUUAAUGUGUCAUGAGAGCAUCCUCCACAAAUCCAGAACGCUCGGUUAUAUUGGUGACAGCAGUGGUUCUUGUGCACAGAUGGUACACAACUGUGAGUGUGCACUUCCAUAGUUUAUCUAGCAGCAAUGCCUCCUUUGGGAGUCCAGACAGUGGUGGUGGUGGUAGAGAAUAAGUUGCUCCAAUCCUAUGAUGGAUUGGAGCAAUUGGAGAUUGGAGCUAUGAUGCCGGGUUUUGCUGUUGAUUGGAGGAGAGGGGUGGUGGCCCACGUCUGGUUGGCUAGUAUUGAACGAACCCACCCCCAAUCAGCUGACAGCGUACCAACAGGGAUAGAGGAGCAACCUGGUAAAGGCACAGCUUGUCCAGUCUUCCUAACUGAAUUUAAGCCUAAGCUUCAUUUCAAUCAGGAGACUUCAACUUUUAACAAUGAUACUUAACAGGCCUUGGACCAUCCUUUCUUACGAUAGACCAGGGGGGCGGAAUGCCAAGAUGAGACAUAUCCCCCAAAACAAGGUUUAUUUUGUGAAUGAAUAAAAUAAAUACUUUAACUACGGUCACUGAGAGAUCCUAGCUGGUUUGUCAUCCUGAGCUGAGGUUAAAAGGGAGUUUGUUAGGGGGACAUAUAGUAGGUCACGUGAAACAGAGAGACAACAGAGGUCAAGUUUAACAAGACACGGUUAGGGGAAGGUCUCAAUGGACCACAGACUUGGAUAAGGGGGUCAGGACAUAGUGAGGGUCUGGCUGGACAACAGUGAGUCAUGGUGGUAUUUCAACAGAUCUUUCACAGAAGUGAAAGAGAGGGUCUGUCACACCGCAGGACGGGAGACAUCGGGGUCAGGUUUGACCACAACAAGAUAAGUUGUGGUCAUGCUAGAGUGCAGCAAAGAACAGUUAAGGUCAAGUGGGACCGCAGAAUAGACAUAGUUGCUGAGGGGCCACCCACAAAAAAACAACUUGACCGGGUUCGCUCCGAUCGGGAAACAGACAUCAUGUUUAGACCUCCAAACAGAAAUGGUACCAGCUUAUUGGGUCCACCUCGAACAUCUUUUUGAAAAUUGAAAUCGUCCCGUUAGACCAGGAAACAGAUCACGUCACGUUCACCUAGGAAACACAGACACUUUAGUGUCGCUGUGGGGGGAGAAACCCCCCCUCUGAGUACGGGCUGCAUCC
ensembl:lncRNA